rnacentral:lncRNA from 1 species
GUGAUCCAGACUCGCUUUUCGGGGUAGUCGCGAUAAUUGCUUUCGUUCGACAUGACCUGGAAGUGGUUGCGACUAGCCGAAAGCCAAAAAGACGAACGUUGUCCAGACUUGACCCCCUGGUCACUGUCUGGCAGCUCCCGUCCAGGCAAAUCAAAGCGUGGUGGCCUGGUCAUCAAACGGAUACGCCCGGGCCAACCGGAAACGUGGCGGGACAAUACGCAACAGCCAACCAAUAUUUCACCUGUCCAGGAAGCGGAGGACCUAGGAGAGAUGGAUCCGACACUAGCGAACAUAAUGUCGUCACGAGUAACAAAC